rnacentral:rRNA from 1 species
ACGGAGGGGGCUAGCGUUGUUCGGAAUUACUGGGCGUAAAGCGCACGUAGGCGGUGGCGCAUGUCAGAUGUGAAAGCCCUGGGCUUAACCUAGGAAUUGCAUUUGAAACUGCGCCGCUAGAGGCCGGAGGAGGGUAGUGGAAUUCCCAGUGUAGAGGUGAAAUUCGUAGAUAUUGGGAAGAACACCGGUGGCGAAGGCGGCUACCUGGUCCGGUUCUGACGCUGAGGUGCGAAAGCGUGGGGAGCAAACAGGA